UGCAGUCAUUACUUAAGCAGCAGAAUGGAAACAACUGGUGACAGACAACAGUCAUUUCCUGACCAGGUUCUGGCUCUCUGUUGCCCUCCUCUUGUCAUGCUCUGCUGGAGCAAGGAUGUGGGAGCAGUGACAACAGUGAUGGCCUCUUCAAGUUAAUUGCAGCUGCUGCUGAACAGGGAUUUCUUCCUGCAAACUGGUAUGGAUGUUUCUAAGAGAUUGGAUGAGCAGCUCCUGCUCCAUGACUUUUUGAACAGAACAGUAUUUCAUAUCCAGAAGCCACUGGUCAUAAAAGGUGUUGAAUCCAUCAUAAGCUUGCAGGAUUUUGGAAAAUCAUGUCACAGCUGAGUUUCUUGCCAUUUCCUCAGAUCAAUUCCGACAACAUGAACAAUAGAAUGCUGGUCUAGCCUGGAGGAUUUGACUAGAAGGUUCCCCGUGGUAAAAUAUACUUGAAUACAGAAGAUAUUUUUUCUUAAUUUAAAAUGCCAGUAGAAUAAAUAAAAAAAUAGUGUAAAGGCA
rnacentral:lncRNA from 1 species